GAUGAACGCUGGCGGCGUGCCUAAUACAUGCAAGUCGAGCGAACAGAUGAGGAGCUUGCUCCUCUGACGUUAGCGGCGGACGGGAGAGUAACACGUGGAUAACCUACCUAUAAGACUGGGAUAACUUCGGGAAACCGGAGCUAAUACCGGAUAAUAUAUUGAACCGCAUGGUUCAAUAGUGAAAGACGGUUUUGCUGUCACUUAUAGAUGGAUCCGCGCCGCAUUAGCUAGUUGGUAAGGUAACGGCUUACCAAGGCAACGAUGCGUAGCCGACCUGAGAGGGUGAUCGGCUACCCGGGAACUGAGACACGGCCCAGACUCCUACGCGAGGCCGCAGUAGGGAAUCUUCCGCAAUGGGCGAAAGCCUGAUGGAGCAACGCCGCGGGAGUGAUGAAGGUCUUCGGAUCGUAAAACUCUGUUAGUAGGGAAGAACAAAUGUGUAAGUAACUAUGCACGUAUUGACGGUACCUAAUCAGAAAGCCACGGCUAACUACGUG
rnacentral:rRNA from 1 species